rnacentral:lncRNA from 1 species
AGGAAAUCCAGCAGCAGAUCUGGAUCCCGUCUGUAUUUAUUGGGGAGAGAAGCUCCGAGUACCUGCGUGCCCUCUUUGUCUACGAGAAGGGCCUACCACAGCCGCUGCGUGGACCCCUGGCUCACUCAGACCCGGAAGACCUGCCCCAUUUGCAAGCAGCCUGUUCAUCGGGGUCCUGGGGACGAAGACCAAGAGGAAGAAACUCAAGGGCAAGAGGAGGGUGAUGAAGGGGAGCCAAGGGACCACCCUGCCUCAGAAAGGACCCCACUUUUGGGUUCUAGCCCCACUCUUCCCACCUCCUUUGGUUCCUUAGCCCCAGCUCCCCUUGUUUUUCCUGGGCCUUCAACAGAUCCCCCACUGUCCCCUCCCUCUUCCCCUGUUAUCCUGGUCUAAUAACCCCCCACACAUACACCUCUGGUGACCUAUUUGCACAGACCGUCGUCUUCCCUCCAGUCUUCUGAGGGAUAGGGGACAUUCCAUCCCAAGCUUCUCCCUUACCCACACCUAUCCUUUUGAGGGGCUUUGGGGUGGAGCUGGGGCAAGCAGAGGGACUGGGUCUUCACUUCUUGGGCUAAUAAAAUUGUUUCUUUGUGGACUAA